rnacentral:rRNA from 1 species
UACGUAGGGGGCAAGCGUUAUCCGGAAUCAUUGGGCGUAAAGCGCGUGUAGGCGGUUCCGUAAGUCCGCUCUGAAAGCCCAGGGCUCAACCCUGGGAGGCGGGUGGAUACUACGGAACUGGAGUACGGAAGAGGAGAUUGGAAUUCCUGGUGUAGCGGUGAAAUGCGCAGAUAUCGGGAAGAACACCCGUGGCAAAGGCGGCACUCUGGGACGGUACUGACGCUGAGACGCGAAAAGCGUGGGGAGCGAACAGG